CAGAAGUCCAGAUGAACUCAGAUGAGCAA
rnacentral:piRNA from 1 species